rnacentral:rRNA from 1 species
CUACGGGCUGCACCAGUGAGGAAUAUUGCGCAAUGGGGGCAACCCUGACGCAGCGACGCCGCGUGGAUGAUGAAGGCCUUCGGGUUGUAAAAUCCUGUCAGAUGGGAAGAAAUGUAUAUUGUCUGAUAGGCAGUGUAUUUGACGGUACCAUCAAAGGAAGCACCGGCUAACUCCGUGCCAGCAGCCGCGGUAAUACGGAGGGUGCGAGCGUUGUUCGGAAUUACUGGGCGUAAAGCGCGCGUAGGCGGCUUUGUAAGUCAGAUGUGAAAGCCCACGGCUCAACCGUGGACGUGCAUUUGAAACUGCAAGGCUUGAGUACUGGAGGGGGUAGUGGAAUUCCCGGUGUAGAGGUGAAAUUCGUAGAGAUCGGGAGGAAUACCGGUGGCGAAGGCGACUGCCUGGCCAGAUACUGACGCUGAGGUGCGAAAGCGUGGGGAGCAAACAGGAUUAGAUACCCGUGUAGUC